rnacentral:rRNA from 1 species
GGUGACAGGUGCUGCAUGGCUGUCGUCAGCUCGUGUCGUGAGAUGUUGGUUAAGUCCCGCAACGAGCGCAACCCUCGCCUUUAGUUGCCAGCAUUCAGUUGGGCACUCUAGAGGGACUGCCGGUGGUCAAACCGGAGGAAGGUGGGGAUGACGUCAAGUCCUCAUGGCCUUUAUGUCUAGGGCUACACACGUACUACAAUGGCCGGUACAAAGGGCAGCCACUCAGCGAUGAGGCGCUAAUCCCAUAAAGCCGGUCUCAGUCCGGAUCGCAGUCUGCAACUCGACUGCGUGAAGUUGGAAUCGCUAGUAAUCGUAGAUCAGCAUGCUACGGUGAAUACGUUCCCGGGCCUU